GCUUGUGCCUGCCACCCUGGGGAGGCCCCUCCUUCUCCUCUCUCCUCAUCAGGAUGGCCUGGCCUGUCUCCCUCCUGCUACAACGCCCCUCCCUGCUGGCCCAGCAGGGUCCAGGAGCCUGAGCUACUGGGACAUACCCAGCUUACAAUGGACAAUGAGCCCAGAUCUUCCUCUGCAAGCCAGCCGGUGCCGGGAGGCGAGACAGGCCAGGACCAGUCACUUCCUCUCUCUGGACCACACCUUUCAGAUGAGCUCACCACCUACUUCAGUGCCCAGCCCACCCUGAUGUUGCAGGAGCAAAUAAG
rnacentral:lncRNA from 1 species